UACGUAGGGGGCAAGCGUUGUCCGGAUUUAUUGGGCGUAAAGAGCGUGUAGGCGGCUUUACAGGUCCGUUGUGAAAACCCGAGGCUCAACCUCGAGACGCCGGUGGAAACCGUAAGGCUAGAGUCCGGAAGAGGAGAGUGGAAUUCCCGGUGUAGCGGUGAAAUACGCAGAUAUCGGGAAGAACACCUAUGGCGAAGGCAGCUCUCUGGGACGGUACUGACGCUGAGACGCGAAAGCGUGGGGAGCGAACAGG
rnacentral:rRNA from 1 species